ACGGGUACGGGGAUUNGGGUUCGAUUUCCCGGAGAGGGAGCCUGAGAAACGGCUACCACAUCCAAGGAAGGCAGCAGGCGCGCAAAUUACCCAAUCCCGACACGGGGAGGUAGUGACAAUAAAUAACAAUACAGGGCUCUUUCGGGUCUUGUAAUUGGAAUGAGUACAAUUUAAAUCCCUUAACGAGGAACAAUUGGAGGGCAAGUCUGGUGCCAGCAGCCGCGGUAAUUCCAGCUCCAAUAGCGUAUAUUAAAGUUGUUGCAGUUAAAAAGCUCGUAGUUGAAUUUCGGGGUUCUACCGUUGGUCGGGCUAUUGUCUGUACUGGCGUGUAGAAUUUCUACCUUCUGGGGAACUAUCAUGUUAUUAAUUUAGCGUGGUAGGAAACCAGGACCUUUACCUUGAAAAAAUUAGAGUGUUCAAAGCAGGCUUAUGUCUGAAUACAUUAGCAUGGAAUAAUAAAAUAGGACGGUGGUCCUGUUUUGUUGGUUUCUGAAUCACCGUAAUGAUUAAUAGGGAUAGUUGGGGGCAUUAGUAUUCAAUUGUCAGAGGUGAAAUUCUUGGAUUUAUUGAAGACUAACUACUGCGAAAGCAUUUGCCAAGGAUGUUUUCAUUAAUCAAGAACGAAAGUUAGGGGAUCGAAGACGAUCAGAUACCGUCGUAGUCUUAACCAUAAACUAUGCCGACUAGGGAUCGGACGAUGUUAACUUUUCUUGACUCGUUCGGCGCCUUACGGGAAACCAAUUUUUUGUGGUGUNUANCA
rnacentral:rRNA from 1 species